rnacentral:lncRNA from 1 species
CUGGACCUCAGGUGAUCUGCCCGCCUUGGCCUCCCAAAGUGCUGGGAUUACAGGCAUGAGCCACCGCGCCUGGCCCAUACGUAGAAUUCUUUGAGCAAACUUUUCACCUGCUAAACCUUUGCUGCUAUCGUCAUCAUCAUCAUCAUCUACCUCAGAGGGUUCCUGGGGACCUGAAACAAGGCAAGCUAUACAAACUGUUUGACACAGGCAUCACUAAAUAAUUAUGGGGCAGAGUGAUGCAUGCUGGGAUAUAGAAUGGUGGGAGGUGCUGGGAGACUCACAGGAAAGAGAAAAGACUUCUGACUGGCUGGUUGGAAGAAAGAUGUGGAAGGCUUCCCAGAGGAAAUAGUGUUUUAGCUGGCCUCAGAGGACAUGUGUGGAAGUUUCCCAGGUAGACAAGGGGGAUAUAGAAAGACGAACUUGUGUGAAGACUCAGAUGUGAGAGAGCCUAAGCAUGUCGGGAACAUGGAGUGGUUUCAUGAGACUGCGUGUCUGGGUGAGGGCAAGGUGUGAGCCUGCACAGGACAUGGGGGCCGGAUGGCAAAAGGCUGGAAAUGCCUUGCCUGAGGUUUUAAACUUGACCUGGCAGGUGAGGUCCUGUUAAUAUGGCAGAAUCACAAAGGGCACUUAAAAGAACAAAUUCUGUGGUCCUACCCGGCAACAUUCUAAGUCAGCAGGUCUCAGAUGGGACCCAGAAAUCUACAGUGUUUAUUUUUAUUUAUUUGGGUUUUUUUGGAUACAGGGUCUCACUCUUGUCACUCAGGCUGGCGUGCAGUGGCACAAUCUCGGCUCACUGAACCUCAACUUCCCAAACUUAAGUGAUCCUCUCACCUGAGCCUCCUGAGUAGCUGAGACCACAGGUGUGUGCCACCACGCCAGGCUAAUUUUUUUGUAUUUUUAUUUUUUUAUUUAUUUUGAGACGGAGUCUCACUCUGUCGCCCAGGCUGGAGUGCAGUGGCACGAUCUCAGCUCACUGCAACCACUGACUCCUGGGUUCAAGCAAUUCUCCUGCCUUAGCCUCCCAAGUAGCUGGGAUUACAGGUGUGAGCUACCACGCCCAGCUAAUUUUUGUAUGUUUAGUAGAGAUGGGGUUUUGCCCCAGGCUGGUCUCGAACUCCUGGGCUCAAGCGACACUCAGGCCUCAACUUCCCAAAAUGCUGGGAUUAUAUGUGGGAGCCACCGCACCCGGCCUACAAUGUUUAUUUAUUUACUUUAUUUAUUUAUUUAUUUAUUUAAUUUAUUCACUCCUCUCAGCUCAUGCCUAAGGAAUCUACAGUGUUUAAAGCUCCCCAGGGCCAGGCGUGGUGGUUCACACCUGUAAUCCCAGCACUUUGGGAGGCUGAGGCAGGCGGAUCACCUGGGGUCAGGAGUUCAAGACCAGCCUGGCUGACAUGGUGAAACCCCAUCUCUACUAAUAAUACAAAAAAAAAAGCUGGGCAUGGUGGCAUGCACCUGUAGUCCCAGCUACUAGGGAGGCUGAGGCACAAGAAUGGCUUGAACCUGGGAGGCGAAGGUUGCAGUGAACCAAGAUCGCGCCACUGUACUCCAGCCUGGGCAACAGAGCAAGACAGAGACUCCAUCUCAAAAUAAAUAAAUAGAAGGCUCUCCAGGACAUUUUGAUGCCCACUGGGAUAUGGGAACUCCUGCCAUGGGGAGGAGGGCGUCUUUAAGAAGGAAUAGGCCCUAUUGAGAUGCCAGCUGUAGACCUCUAGGAGUUGACCAUCGAGCCUGAGAAGGUAAGGAGAGGGUGUAGGAGACCCCUGACUCUGACCUCCACCCUCUCAUUCCUCUCCAGGGCAGUCCCGCACUCUGAUGGCCACAUCUGGUGCCAGGUAGUUUCUCGUAAAGAUCUACACUCACAUUACAACCUAGACAUCCCACUAGUAGGUAUUUACCCAAGACACCUGAAAGCAUGUGUGUACCCAAAGACUCGUAAAUGAAUGCAACUCUAUAUGUAAUAGCCAAAAUUAGAAACAAUCCAAAUGUUCAUCAGCAGGUGAGUGGUAAAACAAGUUGUGAUAUGUUCAUACAAUGUUGCUACUCAGUAAUAAAAAGAAAUGAGCUACAGAUACAGAUAAGGAAACUUGGAGGUGAUAUGUUCAUAAUCUUGUUUGGGUCAAAGGUUUCAGGGAUGUAUACAUGUGUCAAAACAUAUCAAACCGUAUAAUUUAAAUACGUGCUGCUUAUUGUAUGUCAAUUAUAUCUCAAUAAAGCUGUUAUAAAAAUCUGAUGCCAGUUCUGUGCACCCACGGCCAGUGACAAUCCCAAGGCCACAUUGAAUGAUUACUGUGCAUGAGGUACUGUGUGCUGAGCACUCUAUGGAGAUUUUUCCUUUAACCUUCACAAUAGCCUUAGGAGGUGGCACUAUUAUUAUUAAUACCUCUGUUUACAUAGGCAGAAAGGAAAGCUCAGAAAGGUUAAAUCACUUCUCCAAGGAAAUGUCACCUGACUGAAUUCCAGCCCCAGCUUUACCCCUAACCUAAUCCAAGCUGUGUUCUAAUUUGUUUUUAUGAUUAUACAAGCAUUGUAAUCAUUAUGGAAAGCAAAAGAAAACAUGUUUCAAUUGCUUUCAGCCAACCCCUGUACAUCAUUGAAUCCCUAUAUGUCUAGUGAUUUUUUUUUUUAUUUGAGAUGGACCUUCACUCUGUUGCCCAGGCUGGAGUGCAGUAGCGCAAUCACUCUGUUGCCCAGGCUGGAGUGCAGUGGCGCGAUCUCGGCUCACUGCAACCUCUGCCUUCCGGGUUCAAGUGAUUCUCCUGCCUCAGCCUCCUGAGUAGCUGGGAUUACAGGCACACGCCACCACGCCCGACUAAUUUUUGUAUUUUUUAGUAGAGACGGGGUUUCACCAUGUUGGUCAGGCUGGUCUCAAACUCCUGACCUCGUGAUCUGCCUGCCUCAGUCUCCCAAAGUGCUGGGAUUACAGGCAUAAGCCACUGCGCUCGGCCUAUGUCUAGUGACUGUUAUAGGCAGUAUUUUUUUUUUUCUUUUUGAGACAGGGCCUCACUCUGCUGCCCAGUCUGGAGUGCAGUGGCACAAUCAAA